rnacentral:rRNA from 1 species
UCAUAUAAUACGUUAUAAUUUAAUUGAUUAUAAAUUAAUUUAUAUAAUUUAAUUUAAACUGAAUUUUUUAAGUGAAAUUUAAAAUUUGUAAAAAAUUAAAAUAUUUUAAUGAAAUGUUUGAAAAUUAAAUUAAAGACUAGGAUUAGAUACCCUAUUAUUAAAACUUAAAAUAAAGAAGUCAUAUAAAUAAAAGUUUAGUUCUAAAAAGUAAAAAAAUUUGGCGGUACUUUAAUCUAUUUAGAGGAAUCUGUUCUGUAAUUGAUAAUCCACGUUUGAAUAAACUUGAUUUAAAAAUUUUUAUAUCGUUGUUUAAAGUAUAUUAAAAAGGUCAUAUUUUAUUUUUAAAUUUAAAGUUAUUUCAGAUCAAGAUGAAGUUUAUAAUUAAGGAUUAAUGGAUUACAUUGUUGGUUUAAAUUAGGAUUAAAAAAUUUAAGAUAUAAAUAAUUUGGAUUUAAAUGUAAUUAAAUAAUAAUUUGUUUAAUGAUUAAAGUUCUAAAGU